GACGAACGCUGGCGGCGUGCUUAACACAUGCAAGUCGAACGGAAAGGCCCUGCUUUUGUGGGGUGCUCGAGUGGCGAACGGGUGAGUAACACGUGAGUAACCUGCCCUUGACUUUGGGAUAACUUCAGGAAACUGGGGCUAAUACCGGAUAGGAGCUCCUGCUGCAUGGUGGGGGUUGGAAAGUUUCGGCGGUUGGGGAUGGACUCGCGGCUUAUCAGCUUGUUGGUGGGGUAGUGGCUUACCAAGGCUUUGACGGGUAGCCGGCCUGAGAGGGGGACCGGCCACAUUGGGACUGAGAUACGGCCCAGACUCCUACGGGAGGCAGCAGUGGGGAAUAUUGCACGAUGGGCGGAAGCCUGAUGCAGCAACGCCGCGUGCGGGAUGACGGCCUUCGGGUUGUAAACCGCUUUCGCCUGUGACGAAGCGUGAGUGACGGUAAUGGGUAAAGAAGCACCGGCUAACUACGUG
rnacentral:rRNA from 1 species